AGAUGACCCCUAUUGAUUGUGAGGUCACUAGGUCAAAGGUCAAGGUCACGGUGACCCGAAAUAGUAAAAUGGUUUCCGGAUGAUAACUCAAGAACGCAUACGCCUAGGAUCAUGAAACUUCAUGGGUAGAUUGAUCAUGACUCGCAGAUGACCCCUAUUGAUUUUGAGGUCACUAGUUCAAAGGUCAAGGUCACGGUGACCCCAAAUAGUAAAAUGAUUUUCGGAUGAUAAUUCAAGAACGCAUAUGCCAAGGAUCAUGAAACUUCAUAGGUAGAUUGAUCAUGACUCGCAGAUGACCCCUAUUGAUUUUGAGGUCACAAGGUCAAAGGUCAAGGUCACGGUGACCCGAAAUAGUAAAAUGAUUUUCGGAUGAUAACUCAAGAACGCGUUUGCCUAGGAUCAUGACACUUCAUAGGUACAUUGAUCGUGACUCGCAGAUGACCCCUAUUGAUUUUCAGGUCACUAGGUCAAAGGUCAAGGUCACAGUGACAAAAAACGUAUUCACACAAUGGCUGCCAGUACAACGGACAGCCCAUAUGGGGGGCAUGCAUGUUUUACAAA